AGAGUUUGAUCAUGGCUCAGGAUGAACGCUAGCUACAGGCUUAACACAUGCAAGUCGAGGGGAACGACAUCGAAAGCUUGCUUUUGAUGGGCGUCGACCGGCGCACGGGUGAGUAACGCGUAUCCAACCUGCCCACCACUUGGGGAUAACCUUGCGAAAGUAAGACUAAUACCCAAUGAUAUCUCUAGAAGACAUCUGAAAGAGAUUAAAGAUUUAUCGGUGAUGGAUGGGGAUGCGUCUGAUUAGCUUGUUGGCGGGGUAACGGCCACCAAGGCGACGAUCAGUAGGGGUUCUGGAGAGGAAGGUCCCCCANAUUGGAACUGAGACACGGUCCAAAACUCCUACGGGAGCA
rnacentral:rRNA from 1 species